rnacentral:rRNA from 1 species
GCGAAAGCGAGUCUGAAUAGGGCGAAUGAGUUGCAUGAUCUAGACCCGAAGCGAGGUGAUCUACGCAUGGCCAGGUUGAAGCGCGGGUAAGACCGCGUGGAGGACCGAACCCACUAAUGUUGAAAAAUUAGGGGAUGAGCUGUGUGUAGGGGUGAAAGGCCAAUCAAACUUCGUGAUAGCUGGUUCUCUCCGAAAUGCAUUUAGGUGCAGCGUCACGUGUUUCUUACUGGAGGUAGAGCUACUGGAUGGCCGAGGGGUCCUACAAGAUUACCAACGUCAGCCAAACUCCGAAUGCCAGUAAGUGAGAACGUGGCAGUGAGACAGUGGGGGAUAAGCUUCAUUGUCGAGAGGGAAACAACCCAGAACAGCAACUAAGGUCCCAAAGCCUGUGCUAAGUGGAAAAGGAUGUGAAGUCGCAUAGACAACCAGGAGGUUGGCUUAGAAGCAGCCACCCUUAAAAGAGUGCGUAAUAGCUCACUGGUCAAGUGAUUUCGCGCCGACAAUGUAACGGGGCUCAAGCACAGCACCGAAGUUCUGUCAUUCACACACUAUCCCGGUCGCAAGAUCCAGGAGUGUGGAUGGGUAGGAGAGCGUUGUGUAACUAGUGAAGCGGCGGAGGAAUCCAGCCGUGGAAGUUACACAAGUGAGAAUGUAGACAUGAGUAGCGAAAGACGGGUGAGAAACCCGUCCACCGAAUGACCAAGGGUUCCUGAGCCAGGCUAAUCCGCUCAGGGUAAGUCGGGUCCUAAGGCGAGGCCGACAGGCGUAGUCGAUGGACAACUGGUUGAUAUUCCAGUACCCGCUAAGAGCGCCCAGAACGAGCCUGCUAAUGCUAAGUGCCUGAAGUUUCCUUGGGGUAAAACCUAAAGGGGAUGGAGCGCGCGACCCAAGGCAGUAGUAGUUCAGCAAUGGUGUGACACAGGAAGGUAGUUCAGCCCAGGCGAUGGUUGACCUGGGGUAAGAGUGUAGGAAGUGGUGUAGGUAAAUCCGCACCACAUAUUUCUGAGACUUGAUGCCGAGCCGUAUGGCGAAGUGAAUGAUCCUAUGCUGUCAAGAAAAACAUCUAGCGAGCUCAACAGC